GUCAUCUGACUUGGGUCAGCUGACCUACAUGUUGCGCCCAGACUGGCAGUUUGACAUCACUGACCUUGUGACAGAGUUCAUGAAGGUGGAGGAGCCCAGAGUCGCCCAGUUACAGGAUGGCAGGACCCUGGUUGGUCGGGAGCCAGGAAUCACCACUGUUCAGGUCCUCUCACCUCUCUCUGACUCCAUCCUGACUGAGA
rnacentral:lncRNA from 1 species